AAGGAAUUGGUUCCUCACUUGACCUUCCAUCUCAACAAACCAAUAUCCAAGAAACAUGUAAAAGACUCCAUCUACACCACACCACACCCAAUAGCUACCCAAAAUUCAAAUCCGAACCUGUGCAUUUUCAAAACCCCGCCAUCUCUCUCUACCUAUCUAGCUGUACAAAAUCCCACAGAGAGAGAGAGAGAAAGACACAUUGACAUUACCAUCAUCAACAAAACACCAAAAAAAAAAAAAAACCCUAUUAAAAAAGUCUCCAUUUUUCUCUCUCUCACACAGUCACUCUCAGUGUGAAAGUGUGUUAGCCAUGGCGCACGUUAGCAAGCUCCUUCGAUGUCGGCCGAUGAUGCCUCUAGCCUCCAUCCUGAAUCCGAUCUACUCCAACUAUUUUCACUCAUUCAACUUCAAAACCUAACAUUUAUUUGGGAUUAGGUGCAAAUGAUAGGAUGGUUAAGGAAUUGAAGAAGUUACUUCCCUAUCUCAGGUCCCACCUCGGUACACACUGCAAUGAUGGUACUAGUAGAAAUGAAGAGGACAACUCAAUCAAUAACAUGAGGGAGGUUGAAAACAGCUUGGAUGGUAACUCAGAGGAACACUAGUAUAGAUCUUGUUAUAAUUCUAGUUGUUUAAGUUUAAAACAAGGUUUAAUUUCAGGAUUUCUUUGUAUAUUCUAUAUUUUAAAGUUUGAACUUAUAUGAAUUUUUAUCUUUCAAUUGAUUA